UACAGAGGUCUCAAGCGUUGUUCGGAUUCAUUGGGCGUAAAGGGUGCGUAGGUGGCGCUGUAAGUCGGGUGUGAAAUUUCGGAGCUUAACUCCGAAACUGCAUUCGAUACUGCGGUGCUUGAGGACUGGAGAGGAGACUGGAAUUCAUGGUGUAGCAGUGAAAUGCGUAGAGAUCAUGAGGAAGACCAGUGGCGAAGGCGGGUCUCUGGACAGUCCCUGACACUGAGGCACGAAGGCCAGGGGAGCAAACGGG
rnacentral:rRNA from 1 species